rnacentral:rRNA from 1 species
GAUGAACGCUGGCGGCGUGCCUAACACAUGCAAGUCGAACGGAGAUUACAGACGGAAGUUUUCGGAUGGAAGCCUGUAAUUCUUAGUGGCGGACGGGUGAGUAACGCGUGGGCAACCUGCCCUAUACAGGGGGAUAGCAGCUGGAAACGGCUGGUAAGACCGCAUAAGUCGGUUAAAUCGCAUGAUUUGACCGGGAAAUGAGCAAUCAGGUAUAGGAUGGGCCUGCGUCCGAUUAGCCAGUUGGCAGGGUAAAAGCCUACCAAAGCGACGAUCGGUAGCCGGACUGAGAGGUCGGACGGCCACAUUGGGACUGAGACACGGCCCAAACUCCUACGGGAGGCAGCAGUGGGGGAUAUUGCACAAUGGAGGAAACUCUGAUGCAGCGACGCCGCGUGAGUGAAGAAGUAUUUCGGUAUGUAAAGCUCUAUCAGCAGGGAAGAUGAUGACGGUACCUGACUAAGAAGCCCCGGCUAACUACGUGCCAGCAGCCGCGGUAAUACGUAGGGGGCAAGCGUUAUCCGGAUUUACUGGGUGUAAAGGGAGCGCAGGCGGUUUUGCAAGUUGAGAGUGGAAGCAGGGGGCUCAACCCCCUGACUGCUCCCAAAACUGUAGGACUUGAGUAUGGGAGAGGCAGGCGGAAUUCCUAGUGUAGCGGUGAAAUGCUUAGAUAUUAGGAAGAACACCGGUGGCGAAGGCGGCCUGCUGGACCAAAACUGACGCUGAGGCUCGAAAGCGUGGGUAGCAAACAGG